GCUUUUUCUAUCUUCCCAUUACCCAAAUUAUUCAAAGGACUAAAAUGGAGAAGUCCAGUAGAAUUCCUGAUGUCUCUCAGAAAACUGCAUUGGGAUGCCUUCAUUCACUGAGCAUAUAUUGGGUGCUCACGAGGUGUCAAGCCUUGCUCUAGCAGAAUGGGGAAGAAAGGGAGGAAAAACGGAGCAACACCAAGAACGAACGAAAUCUACGUGGACCCUUAGGUCUACAAAACGGAAGCAGCCCUGCAUUAAGUUCAAAGAAGGAGCCCGGCGCGCUUCAGCUCCUGUGGCUUGCGGUGAUCGUAUCUCGGUUAGUACUCUACGCUGUGGCCGCAGCAGCCGUGGCUGGAAUCCCAGUCAUGGCAACGUCCAUUCUAGCCUAGGCUCUUCUUUCCCUUUCGCCUCCAAUCUCAGCCUAGGCUACGUCGCUGACCUGAGGCUAGAGAGGUCACAACUUUCCUGUGACUUAGGAACUCUCUGUAGUGGUGAGAAUAGAAGGAACCUCUACCCUGCACGCCUAGGGGUCCGGUUAUCUUGA
rnacentral:lncRNA from 1 species